rnacentral:tRNA from 1 species
GCGCCGAUGGUUUAGUGGUAAAAUCCAUCGUUGCCAUCGAUGGGCCCCCGGUUCGAUUCGGGUCGGGCGCA